CAGCACAAAUACUAAAAUACUGAAACUAGAACAAUACAGAGAAGAAUAGUGUGGACCCUGUGCAAGGAUGACAUGCAAAUUUGUAAAGCAUUCCAUAUUUUA